GACGAACCGUGCAAACGUUGUUCGGAAUCACUGGGCUUAAAGGGCGCGUAGGCGGGUGGUCAAGUCAGGGGUGAAAUCCUCCAGCUUAACUGGAGAACAGCUUUUGAUACUGGCCAUCUUGAGUGGGGUAGGGGCAUGUGGAACUUCCGGUGGAGCGGUGAAAUGCGUAGAUAUCGGAAGGAACGCCGAUGGCGAAAGCAACGUGCUGGACCCUUUCUGACGCUGAGGCGCGAAAGCCAGGGGAGCAAACGG
rnacentral:rRNA from 1 species